rnacentral:rRNA from 1 species
AGAGUUUGAUCAUGGCUCAGAACGAACGCUGGCGGCAGGCUUAACACAUGCAAGUCGAACGCACUCUUCGGAGUGAGUGGCAGACGGGUGAGUAACGCGUGGGAACCUACCCAUUGGUUCGGAAUAACCCAGGGAAACUUGGGCUAAUACCGGAUACGCCCUUCGGGGGAAAGAUUUAUCGCCAUUGGAUGGGCCCGCGUCGGAUUAGCUAGUUGGUGGGGUAAUGGCCUACCAAGGCAACGAUCCGUAGCUGGUCUGAGAGGAUGAUCAGCCACACUGGGACUGAGACACGGCCCAGACUCCUACGGGAGGCAGCAGUGGGGAAUAUUGGACAAUGGGCGAAAGCCUGAUCCAGCCAUGCCGCGUGAGUGAAGAAGGCCUUAGGGUUGUAAAGCUCUUUCAGCGGGGAAGAUAAUGACGGUACCCGCAGAAGAAGCCCCGGCUAACUUCGUGCCAGCAGCCGCGGUAAUACGAAGGGGGCUAGCGUUGUUCGGAAUUACUGGGCGUAAAGCGCGCGUAGGCGGAUUACUAAGUCAGGGGUGAAAUGCCGAGGCUCAACCUCGGAACUGCCUUUGAUACUGGUAAUCUGGAGUACGGGAGAGGAGUGGAAUUCCGAGUGUAGAGGUGAAAUUCGUAGAUAUUCGGAGGAACACCAGAAGCGAAGGCGGCUCACUGGCCCGAUACUGACGCUGAGGCGCGAAAGCGUGGGGAGCAAACAGGAUUAGAUACCCUAGUAGUCC